rnacentral:rRNA from 1 species
UACGUAGGGUGCGAGCGUUGUCCGGAAUUAUUGGGCGUAAAGAGCUCGUAGGCGGUGUGUCGCGUCGGCCGUGAAAACCUGGGGCUCAACUCUGGGCGUGCGGUCGAUACGGGCAUCACUUGAGUUCGGCAGGGGAGACUGGAAUUCCUGGUGUAGCGGUGAAAUGCGCAGAUAUCAGGAGGAACACCGGUGGCGAAGGCGGGUCUCUGGGCCGAUACUGACGCUGAGGAGCGAAAGCGUGGGGAGCGAACAGG